GAUAGAAUAAGCUAAAAUUAAGCUGUUGGGCUCAUACCCCGAAAAUGGAACUAUCCUUCUAUCA
rnacentral:tRNA from 1 species